GGGAGUUUGGCCGAGUGGUUAAGGCGCUGUGUUUAGGCUUAGACUCGAUCUAAACUUGAAUCCCGCAGUGGGAAACCGCGCAGGUUCGAAUCCUGCAGCUCUCA